CGUAAAGCGAGCGCAGGCGGAAAAAUAAGUCUGAUGUGAAAGCCCUCGGCUUAACCGAGGAACUGCAUCGGAAACUGUUUUUCUUGAGUGCAGAAGAGGAGAGUGGAACUCCAUGUGUAGCGGUGGAAUGCGUAGAUAUAUGGAAGAACACCAGUGGCGAAGGCGGCUCUCUGGUCUGCAACUGACGCUGAGGCUCGAAAGCAUGGGUAGCGAACAGGAUUAGAUACCCUGGUAGUCCAUGCCGUAAACGAUGAGUGCUAAGUGUUGGGAGGUUUCCGCCUCUCAGUGCUGCAGCUAACGCAUUAAGCACUCCGCCUGGGGAGUACGACCGCAAGGUUGAAACUCAAAGGAAUUGACGGGGGCCCGCACAAGCGGUGGAGCAUGUGGUUUAAUUCGAAGCAACGCGAAGAACCUUACCAGGUCUUGACAUCUAGUGCAAUCUGUAGAGAUACGGAGUUCCCUUCGGGGACGCUAAGACAGGUGGUGCA
rnacentral:rRNA from 1 species